rnacentral:sRNA from 1 species
CAUAUCUCUCUUACGGGAAGGAUGAGAAGCUUCGACUAAGGUUCGAUUCGAGCGAAAGCGAGAAAGCGUUGCCGCAGGCAACGACUCGAAGGGCGAAGCGCGCAGCGCUGAGUCAUCCUUCCCCCACCACCA